CAGACUGGAAGUACUUGGAAUGUGUGGGAAGAGACGGUAGUGAAUAUUGGUUCAACUUUUAAUAAACACUUCCAGGAAGAAGUGGAACCCUCCAGUGAUGUUUGGAAUGGCAAUUCUUUCUUCAUGCAAUAGUGGCCUGGUGGUAAUGGAAAAUCUGCCUCAGCAGGAAAAGAAAGAAAGAAAGGCUUGUCGUUAAAGGGAAAGCUGUGGGGAUCUUCACCCUGGUCGCAGAAUUCAGGUGAUGUAAGGCAGCUUACGUUGACCUAACUCUUGAGGUGCGGUGGCCUUCCGAGGACCUGGAGUGGGAGGGCCCCCGCACUGAGCCCUGGUGGGCAGAGCCAGGGCCUAGUUGCCCCUCCCCAAGGCCGGCGAAGAAGGACACCAUGAACCAGAGGAAGAGGAACAGGGAGAAGAAAAUCCCAAUGAGUCCCGGA